rnacentral:tRNA from 1 species
GGGGCGUUAACUCAGCGGUAGAGUGCCAUCUUCACACGGUGGAAGUCACUGGUUCAAACCCAGUACGCCCCA